UGGGGAUUUUCCGCAAUGGGCGAAAGCCUGACGGAGCAACGCCGCGUGAGGGAUGAAGGCCUCUGGGCUGUAAACCUCUUUUAUCAAGGAAGAAGAUCUGACGGUACUUGAUGAAUAAGCCACGGCUAAUUCCGUGCCAGCAGCCGCGGUAAUACGGGAGUGGCAAGCGUUAUCCGGAAUUAUUGGGCGUAAAGCGUCCGCAGGCGGCCCUUCAAGUCUGCUGUUAAAAAGUGGAGCUUAACUCCAUCAUGGCAGUGGAAACUUCUGGGCUUGAGUGUGGUAGGGGCAGAGGGAAUUCCCGGUGUAGCGGUGAAAUGCGUAGAUAUCGGGAAGAACACCAGUGGCGAAGGCGCUCUGCUGGGCCAUCACUGACGCUCAUGGACGAAAGCCAGGGGAGCGAAAGGGAUUAGAUACCCCUGUAGUC
rnacentral:rRNA from 1 species